GCCACAAUUUUUGUUCAUCGCUCUGUUCUUCUCCCACUGAUUCAAACCCUAAUUAGCCUCCCUCACAUUUAUCGCUCUACUGCUCUCAUCAUCAUCAUCUCUUGCAAAUGAUUCAACAAAUAGCCUUGGAUUCAGAUCGAGUUUUGCUUUUCAAUCGAUUAUACACUCCAAAUGCUUAGGGUUUUCCAAUUCUUCAUUUCCAUUUUACAUUGUAGUCGCCUGUUCUUCUCCAUCUUCAAAUCUUUUAUCUUCAUAUGCAUACACCAAAUUGAACAAGAUUUUGCUGUUCUUAAUUCCGAGUAGAUUUACAAAAAUUUGUAAUCAAAUUGAAGAUUUACAACGUGAAUCUGUAUGCUGCAUUUCAAAAUGAUACAUAAGGAAACCUCUUAAUUGGAUUCAGAUUGAGUUUAGAUGAGUUUUCUUUGACUGGCAUUUUGUCGAACACCUUUCAUCAGUCUCAUUGCCAUGGCAAAUCCUAUAGGAAAGUGAUAGAAGGUUGCGCAUAAGACCUUAGAAACAAGCUUAUAGUCAGCAUCUCUCAUUCUUGCGCAAUUUGCUUCGCAUAUUCAAAAAUUGGUGCAAUUGUCCGUUCUAACUCGAACUUGUAGUGGUUAUGUGUUGUGGUGCUUUUAUAUGGAAAUGACAUUGAUCAAGAAUGGGUUAUUAACAUUGUAAGAGAGUAUGAGGCAAUGAAGCAUCACAUGCUCUGAUGACUAAUUGAAAAGGUUAAUGGCAUGCAAGGAACUAACAAUUUUUAUUGAAGAUGAUUAUAGCGAUGUUGACUAGUAUUCAUGCGUGAAAUCCACUCCCAUAAAAUGUUUCAAUUUCCACUUUAGUUUUUCAUAGAAUAUAAUCUUUGUCAAUACCGUCAAAAAUGAAGAUUAUGCAAGUUUUUAAGUGUGCAUUCGUUUGGGUAUGUACUCUACUCACUUAUUGAUGACGGGGGUAGCCCAAGACCAAAUAAAAUGACUUAAGUACAUAAACGACCGAAAGGUUAAAUGGUUCGAAGGUUAAAAAAGCUGUGAAGUGGGGAAAAGCAAUGCGGAAACAGUAGCCAGUCACAUCCAGGGAUUGCUUCACCAACCACAGCCGCAAAAGCAAGGCAGGUCUACAGAGCACAUGCUAUUAUCAAGGGGUUAAAAGGCUUCAACCCCCGAAAGGGCAUGCCCCUCGCUGCAAGCUAGGUCACUAGUCAAAUGAAUGCCUCUUUGGGAGAUGUCUUCUCCUAUAUAAUUGACACUUCAUUUACUGAGUUGGGACAUUCCGGACCAGACCUGUUUCCUUAAAACUCUGGUCAUUCACAUCGUGUACUUGCUUCAUGAUCUGUUGGACCGGUUUGCGACCCUGAAAAGUCAGUUAAGGUAGUUCAUCUUUGCGUAUAAAGGCGGAAUCAAUGUACACAAAGUAACAACAGCUUUUCCUCUU
rnacentral:lncRNA from 1 species